UUUGUUCUGACACAAUAACAUAACCUCAACUCCCCUUUAUUUUAGAGUAGUCCUGCAAGUCAUUUCUCCUUUCUUUUCCUUAUGUGCAACACGAAUUGGGUUUCUUUGCCUAACACAACAUGCACAAGCCAAAGAGCUAUUUGUAUAUUUUGUUGAGUUUGGCAGUACCAACUUCAUGGCUGAAGCUUCUCCCAUGUUUUAAUCUCAAAGUUCAGCCACGAAUCCAUGCUUGACCUUUUUUUUUGGCUUUUUGUUGUUUCCUAUAUACUUGUGGCAGACUUCCACCAAAAUGGGUUUUGUCUUUACCCAUUAUGUGUUUAGAGUCCUUCGGAUAAAAAAAAUAUUCAUCUUUGGUUCUGUAUUGACUUGACAGGAAGGCUUUUCCCUUGUUCUUGGCUUAUGUUGCUUUCGGGUUCUUCAACAGCCGCAACACAGGAGGCUUCUUGACUCAUAUCAUUUGAGAGGGCCACCGUACUGCCAAUUGAGGUGCUGGCUUUGCUUUGUCUCAGUUGCUUCAUGUUUUGCCAGCAACAAAGUGAGAAGCUUUUAUGAUAUUUGCAUUUUGCUACAAAGGAGUGUUGGCUUAAUAAUUUUCGUGGGCUGUCUGGCUUGGGAUUUUUUCUUUGUUGGCAAACUUUGAAGCACAGAAUGUGGGUGUGAAUCAUCAGCUUUUCACGUUUUGCCACCUGUUCUUUCUCCAAUUUGCAGAUUUGGAAUUUUACUCUGCUGAAGGUGGGUUGGGCAUGUAAUGAAACGUCUGGACUGUUGAUGUUUUCUGUUUUUGGUACUCAAGAACACUCGCAAGGUCUUCUCUGAGUACCACAAUGUGCCUGUGGACACUCACAAGGUGUUCACAGCACUUGUACAGUGGGGUUCUUGCAGAAGCCCAUCUGUAAUUCACAACAGAGAGGUCCUUGUGAGAGCUCUCUUUGUGUAAGUAGCACAAUUAUUGCCAAUUUGGGAGGAUUUGUUCAUAUUUUUCCACUGCUGAGAUCUCUGUUGAUAUGAUACAUUUCUUGAUAUCAAACUUGGAGGAAGCUCAGGCUUCUGUACAAUGG